GAAGCACUGUUCCCUGCCAGAGCCCCUAGCACUGAGGAAGCAGUUGCAGGUUGUGACAACAGGAAACCGAUACGUUAGGCUCUUCUCAAAUUAAGUCAGCAAGAGCACGGACUGGAAAGCGGGGAAAGGAGCAGACCUUCGCUCUUUUUUAAGAGAUUAUUGCUCCUGGGAACACGUUGCAGCAUUACUUUCCUCAUAUAAGUUCUUGACUGAAGACCCUGAGGACUGUUCCUACUAUCAACAUAUUCAUUAUAACUCAGAUUGUCUGUUCCUUUUCUUAUCUUAAAAUUUAAAGUGUAUAUCAUCUGAAUUAAAACAUAAAACCACAGGCUUGUUAUGCUACUUUGGAAGAGUCCUUAUGACAAAGAUGACCUACCAUAGAUACCACACAGGGCAUGCUGGCUGUGGUUGCUGCUGUAGGUCAAAGAUUCUCUAGAUUACGAAUCAGAGGGGGAGAGAAGGACAAGUGCUAAUGUGGCAUUGCAGCCAUGGGGACACAUGUAUCUCGAGAACCUAAGCUUUCUAUACAUCUCUAUAAAUCCAUAU